rnacentral:tRNA from 1 species
AGCCUCGCAGUGAAAUCACGUCGGAUUGCAAACCCGAAGGCGCAGGGUUACACCUGCCGGGGCUU